rnacentral:rRNA from 1 species
AUGGUCUUAGCUUGCUAAGACUGAUGGCGACCGGCGCACGGGUGCGUAACGCGUAUGCAACUUGCCUCACAGAGGGGGAUAACCCGUCGAAAGACGGACUAAUACCGCGUACACUCCACCUUGGGCAUCCAAGGAGGAGGAAAUGAAAUUCGCUGUGAGAUAGGCAUGCGUCCCAUUAGCUAGUUGGUGAGGUAACGGCUCACCAAGGCGACGAUGGGUAGGGGAACUGAGAGGUUGAACCCCCACACUGGUACUGAGACACGGACCAGACUCCUACGGGAGGCAGCAGUGAGGAAUAUUGGUCAAUGGGCGAGAGCCUGAACCAGCCAAGUCGCGUGAAGGAUGACUGUCUUAUGGAUUGUAAACUUCUUUUAUACGGGAAUAACAAGAGCUACGUGUGGCUCCCUGCAUGUACCGUGUGAAUAAGCAUCGGCUAACUCCGUGCCAGCAGCCGCGGUAAUACGGAGGAUGCGAGCGUUAUCCGGAUUUAUUGGGUUUAAAGGGUGCGUAGGCGGCCUGUUAAGUCAGCGGUGAAAUCUAGGAGCUUAACUCCUAAAUUGCCAUUGAAACUGGCGGGCUUGAGUGUAGAUGAGGUAGGCGGAAUGCGUGGUGUAGCGGUGGAAUGCAUAGAUAUCACGCAGAACUCCAAUUGCGAAGGCAGCUUACUAAGGUACAACUGACGCUGAAGCACGAAAGCGUGGGUAUCAAACAGGAUUAGAUACCCUGGUAGUCCACGCAGUAAACGAUGAUAACUGGGCGUAUGCGAUA